CAAAGAAAACGUUUGCAGUAUUUUCCCACUAAAGAGGAGCAGUUUAUUGAGGCAGAUUUUGAUAAAGAGAAUGGGUGCCAUACAUCAGACCUCACAUUAAAUCAGGGAUGAAUCGAGAGAUGUCGUCCUCUGUUGCUGGUCUAUCUGUAUAAAUAAGAUGAAGAGCUCAUCCAGGAGUGCAAUUGUGGGAAUGCACAGAGAAUUGUUGUCUGUCAGAGGGAUGACCAACCAUGAGGACUUCUGCAUUGUCUUGGAGGAUAAGCGAGUCAUGGCUAGCCUGGAAAAUCUAGAAUUGCUGAACUAGAUUUAUACAAAUAUUCUCCAAAUAAAAAUCACUUACAAAGAAACGUAUAUUAAGUUUGACACAAAUUCACUGCUAAAACCUUUUGGGGAAAAUUUCAGUGCAUUGACUGAUUGAUUGUGUUCCUAAUAUUUUGAG